UUUUUUCUUCCUUCUAUUUCAAAAAAUAUUUAAAUAAACCUUUUUAUGAUAAUCCUUUUUAUAAAAAAAUAUUUUAUUAUUAAAAAUUAAUAAACCAAGGAAGAUUAUGAACAUCAUCACCAUCUUCAUACCUUCAUCAUCUUCUUUAUUGAACAAAAAACAAAAUAACUACUCAAAUACAUCUCCAAAUAACAUGAAUCUCAAUAUUUUCUUCAUCUCCAUUUUCUAAUCAACACAAAAGUCAAUUACCCUAAUUUAAAUCCAACUCUUGAUGGACACAAGUAGAGUGUUAAUUGCGGCUGCUAUGCGACAAUAUAUACUCUCAGUGGAUUAGUUGCAGAAUUAUACAGAUUGAAUCAAGAGCAGCUAUGCUUUUAGUUAAUUUCCAGCAAUUAAAAAGUAAUUUUUUUUAUCAAAUUGAGACGACAAAUCUCUAUGAUAGAUGCACAAAAGAAGUGAUGUGGUCAGGCUGAAAAUUAGUAUGUCCAUCAUGUUAUUGGUUCAGCGAGUACUCGUUUAUGGGGCAACAAUAUUGGUUAAAGUAUCAACGACGUGAAUUGAGAGGAAAAAUAUAGUUAUCGUAAACAUGGUGACUUUAACCCAAUCCAUUUUUUCAAUUUUAAUUUAAAACAAUUUAUAUAAUCAUCAUUUUCGUCUUAAUAGUUUUUAGGUACUCUAACUUAUUUUUUUGGCUUAAUAGGAAAAUGUUAACAUUAAAAACGUACUAAUAAGUAAUAAUUACCAUUAAAACGCCCCUAAAAAAACUAGCAUUUCCGUUUCUUCUUAAAAAAAAGCAUUAAAAACGUAUUAAGUGUGAUUCAAUUUAUACAGUUAGCAUUAAAUACGUAUUAAGUGUGAUUGCAGAAUAAAAAUUAUUAUAUUUUUUUAAAGAAGAAAUAUUGGCAUCGAAAAUUUAUUUAAAAACAGUAUCGAAAAUGACUAAUUAACUCGGAAAUUUGCGUUAAUAACGAUAUCGAAAACAUCUUACGUUUCAGAAAAAGAAAAAAAAAAUAUCAAAAACAUCACACAGAAAUUUACUUUAAUGCAUAAGUUUUUUUUAUAUAUUAUACACUUUUAAAUUUUUAAAAGGAAGUCUUUUUCUUGAAAAAAAGGUUUUAUAUUAAAUAAUGACAAGUUAAUUUGGAGAGUAAGAGAUUGACAUUUUUUUAGGCAUUAAUUGUAUGUGGUUUGUUAUCAUGGUUUUCGGGUGCCAAGCCAUUAAUUGGACUUGAACCUUUCGACCGUUGAUAUCUCUCUUUUUUCUUGGGAAGGGUAAAAGGAGAAAAACCCUUAAAAAGUUCUAGAUUCGGGGGUCGUUUUCGCUACGGGAAGGUGUUAGGCACCCGGAGCGAUUAUGGUACUCCAUAAGAGCCGCUCUCCUAAGUUUAUUUCUACGCUUUAGUUUUAUUGCCUAUUUGUAAAAAAGGAAGGUAUGAUUAGUGAAGAAUGGGGGUGAGAAGAAGUAGAAUUUGAUUUUAUUUCGGCUUGGAUGAGUUUUGACUCAUUGCCUACGUACCCUUUUAAGGGAUCAAAACCGUUCGUAGUUCAUUCUCAAAAAUGGUUUUUGUUUUUGUUGGUUGAUUUUAAGUUUGAAAAGAGAUUUUGAAGAAUAGAGAUGAGAGGCCUCAAGGGCGUGAGAUUUGGAAAAAAGUGAGGUGGAGUUUAGCUUUUUUCAGAAUGAAGUCCAAGUAUAGUUAAGAUUUAUUAGAAAUUUUACUUAAGAAAAUAAAAGGGAAAUAAGGAGUUUUGACUCCUGGUUUAUUUUCAAGAAAGGUUUUCAAGUGAGGUUAUUUGCAUGUUUUGGAAAAAGUUGGAUUUUCUCUUAAGUGUUUAAGCCUAAGCAUUCAUCUAACCAUACAAUCCUAUGCAUACAUCUAAGGUGAGUGUGUGCGUGCCGGUGCGUCAUAGUGUCCAUAGUCCAUAUUACAAAAAUUCCCUAAAUACAUUCUAUGGCCCCUUUGCCAAGCUACAAACCAAUGAUAACAAAUUACAUCACUAAAUGGAUUAAAACUUGCAAAAAUGAAUACUAAACUAAAGGAAGUGAAGGAGAUAGUGGUGACAUGGAGAAAUGCUCAUGAAAUGAAUGGAACAAAAGAAAUGAGGUGAUUAGUAAAAUAAAGCAUAGAAUAAGAGAAGUGCACAAAAAAGUAUUAAAAGGAAAGACAUAAAAGAGACUAAUAAAGUGACAAAAUGUGCAUGAAAGUGGCCAUAAGAUUCUAGCAUGUGUAUGACCUAUGACCCCUUCAUUAUGGCAAAAUUUUAGAAGUCUUACUUUGUGCCAUAAGGUGAGAAUUAACAGGACAUACUCAAGCUAAAACUCACGGCACAUUUUUAAGCCAUUUUACACCUUAUUUAAUUAUUAAAACACAUACUAAUUGCAAGGCAAGAAGAAAAAUAAGAUUCAUAUUCACAAACAGCAAGCCACACAUAGGAUCAGCAACAAGAUUAUCAUAAAAUUGCAUUUCAAAAAUUCAAAUCACAUGUCAACAAUUCAUGGGGGAUAUGCCACUAAAAAUACACAAGUUUAUGUCCAAACACACUAGUUAACCAAGAAAUAUCACAUGUUUUUUUUUAUCAUUUUAAAACCAUUGAGAAAUAUAGAAACAAGUCAUGAAAGUACAUCAAGAAACAUGUGAUAAUUUUUGGAGAUUUUUAGAGAAAAUUUUAAGCAUGCAGGGGUUCAAACAGCAAAGAAAAAUGGUGCAAAUAGCAGAAAAUAAACAAAAACGUAGAAAAGAACUAAGCCCAAACCAAAGCCCAAUCCUACAAGGUCCGGAUGCACAGGAGCCACACGAUUGAUCCAGGAUCUUGAAACCCUAGAUCAAACGGCCAGGAAUCAAAGGGGAAUGGACCGGUUCUGGACCGGUCCGGUUCACUGGCCUAUAUAAACAAGAGUGCACCGGUUUAAUUCAUUUUCCACUCCCCUUUCUCUCUCUACACUCAGAGCUUCUCUCUCUUCUCUCUUCUCUCAACUCACCGGAUUCUGGCAUGGCACGCCGGAGAGGAUGAAGGACCGGCCGGAACCUUCAUAGGUCGCCGGAAACUUCAUCUUCUCCGGUGAAGAUCUAGGGUUCCGCCGUGAAAUUUUUCAGAAACUUAUGAUUUUUACAUCUUUUGAUUCGUCCUUUAACCCUAAACACGAAUCCAGCAAUUAUUUUCUCAUACACAGCUUGAAACGACGUAGAUCUGAAAAUUUUCGUACGGUUUUGAAAUUGACUUUUUUGAUUUCUUUUGAAAGAAAACGUUUAGAUCUUUAAGGAUCUACAUCGUUUCGUCGUUUUAUUGCUUUUCUGGUACUUGUUCUUGCUUUCAAAACUUAGAUCCUUAUGGAUCUAGGUUUUGUGUUUACGGUUAUGGCUUUCUUUGUGAUUCUGGAAAAUCUAGAUAUGCUUUGCUUGCGUGAUUGUUUACCGGUUUAAACUAUGAUUAACACUUUUUGAAAAUAGAUUAUGAGUUUUACCUAAGGUUUUGGUUGAAACCUUUAAUGGAGGAAAUCUUUGGAAAACUUUGAUUCUGUUCUUGAUGAUUCUUGAUUCUUCUGCUUGCUUCACCGGUCCAGCUUCUGCAGAUUCUGCUUCUUUCCUUCUUCUUUUCAAACUCUCAAAUCCUUCGUGAUCAGUGCUGGAGUUCGCCAAUGGCGAAUUCUCACUUUGAAUUGCGAAGGAAAUCAAUUCGGUGAUGAAGAUUUGAUACAGAAUCUCUGAGAAUUGUGAGGAAUUUUGGAUGAUUCUGUACUGAUUUGUAAUAUUCUGUGUUGAUUUCUGUUGAUUUGAGUUGAUUUGGAUUGAUUUGGAGUUGGUUCAGAAACGGUUAGGGUUUGAAUGUUCUUGGUGUUCUUGAGAAAUUUUUGAGAGAUUUUAUGUUUUGAUUCAAUAGCUGAGAAAGAGAAAAUUGAGUUUGUGUUUAUGAGUUGGCGUGUGAUUCCUGGGUCUGUGUGGCACUGUACACCUUUUAUAGCUUGACAUGUGUGCAUUGGAACCAAUAAGAGAAGGACACCUGGACUUGUAUGAAAAAAAAAGGCACGGCCUUGGACCAAAACAUGAGAUUUGGACCUUUCUGCAAAAAAUAAGAACUUGAGGACUAAACUGCAAUUAACAACAAAAAAAAAAAAAAAAAAAAAGACUGAAAUGUAAAAAAACAAAUUCUGGACUGACACGCAAUUUUGGACCUCUUUGGGGACCAAAAUGUAAAAUAAAAAUAAAAUUGGAAUAAAAUUGGCAACCUGACAAAACGUAAAGUGAAACUAAAAUAAAAUUGACAAACGGACUAAAACGAACCAAUGACCUAAAUGAGGUACUUCAAAGUAACCUCCCCAUGCCAAAAUUUUAUGCGAAAUGGCCAAAAUGCCCCUAGGGCUAAAAUGACCUAAACAGAAUCAAAUUAACUCGACACUGACUCAGAUGCAAGUUUGAAAUGAAAUUAGCAAGGUUUACUGAUGGAAUGUAAAAAAACAAUCUGAAAAGACUCAGAGACAGUCACAAGGAUGAAAAUGGGUCCCACUGCAGGAAAUGACCAAAAUACCCUUCUGUAUGACCCUUUUUUGCAAAUUUUUGAAAUAAACUGUAGAAAAAGUAAUGUAAUGAUUCAGAGACACUUUUGAAUGACUUACAAGACAAGUAAAGACAUUUCGAAAGGUUUUAUGCAAGAAAAACAUAGGUAAAAUUGUGAUUGAAAAUACCGCGAGGCAGAGACAAUUUGAACUAUGCAGUUGAAAUUUGAUAAUUGACAAAGUUUGAAAUGAAAUUGGGCCCAGUAUUUUUAGGUCCAAAAACAGGGUAUAACAUGGUUGAAUCAUGGAAAAAAAAGAUAAAUAUUAUUCAUAUCUUUAAUAUAAGAUAAUUAUUAUCAUAUGUUUUAUUUAAAUAUAAUUUUUUAGACAAUGAUUAAAUAUAUUUUCUUAAUUAUAAACAUUUUUUAAAAUUGUAUACGAUAAAUAAGUUUCCAUAAUAUUGUGUGCAACCUAUAAUAUUCUAAAAAAAAUUAUGCAAAAUUUAAAACAAUUUAAGAUAUUGAGUAUAAAGUAUUUUAUUUUUAAUUUAAUUCAAAAAGAAGUGUUGAAUGGGAGGGAGGUCUGACCUUUGAGAGGGAAGUAGGUGUGCAAAAUCAAAAUUGUAACCACCAUAUCAUCUAUCUUUUAAUGUCUAAAAUCGAAAUAUAUUAUAUAUAAUAUAUAUAAGCAUGUUAUAUCUACAUUUUUUUUUUAUUAUGUAAUUUCAUUUUUAUUUUUUUUUUGGAUUUUUUUUUCUCUCAUGAAGAUGAUGAAUAAGUUGAUGAAGAUAUGAUAUGAAGAAGAUGAAGGAAAGAUGAAGAUGUUGAUUUAAUAAAAAUCUGGAAGAGAGAGAAUAUAAAUAAAUAAAGAAAGAAAAAUAAAGAGGAGAGAAAAUUGGUACUAGAAGAAAAAUCAUGUGUAGAUGGUGUACCACAAUAACAUAGAGAUCAAGUAAAUCUAACCAUUAAAAUCAUAAAAUAAAGCUUUCCUUCACUUACGCUACCGUAGACCGCACUACACUGGAACAUGAUUAGGGUUUUUGACGUGUCAUCAUUUAAAAUCUGAUUGGCCCAUUCAAACGACUUCACCGAAGAAGUCAUUUUCCUGACUUCAUCAUAGAAGCUCCCAACAUUUUUGGUAUAGAUGAAUAUCUAUAUCUAAUGUAAUCUUAGUAAUGACUGAAAUCUAAACAAUGAAAAGACGCACAUUUAAUGCCUGCAUCUGUUGCCCUGACUGUAUGUUCACUCUGCUGCUUCCUUCUAGCUCAUGCUUUUUGCAGCCACUCAGUCUCGUUUCUUGAAAGUUGAAACUAUCCAUUUUGGUUUUGCAGCUAGCUAUUGCCUAUUGGGGAGAGACAAAGAGUAUACACAUUGUCGCUUUGCUUGCUAGAAUGUGUCUUAGAAACAAGGGUUUUGUACACUAUUUUUUUUGUUUUUACAUAAAUCUAAACCCAAAUCAAAUCCAAGUAAAACAAAGUUACAAAGAAAAAGUAAAAAACAUUGUUGUUUGGACUUUGGUAGAAAAUAUAUUUAGCCAGAAAAAAAAACUGCUACAAUUAAUAUGAAAAAUUCCAUGUCAAUAAACAAUUCAAAUAAAAAAUAUUUAAAGAAUUUCAUUAAUUUAUAAAAAAAUCUUCUUCAAAACGGUUAUUUAAUUUAUUUAUAAAUAUUUUUUCAAAUUGAUUAAUUUAAAGUAGUUUAUUAAAAUGUCAUGAUUUUUUUUUAGAUAAAUAUUUUACUCAUUUUCUUGAUUUACACCCUAGUUCUUCAACAACUUUUCUUUAGCUCAAACUAAUUCAACUAUCUAACCUCAAAUUUAUUUAACUUUCUUUAUAUAUUGAUUAUUUAAUGAAUUUAACUUUUUUAAAAUAUAUCUUGUUAUCAGCCAUAAACAUCGUUUCAUGACUCUUCUCUUUCGUAAAUCGUCAUCUAAAACUAGUUUAUUCUUUUUCAUCUACAGAAUAUGGUUUGUUUACGGUCAAUUUUGACUCUAAAUCAUUUUAUUUAAAUAACUAACUUUUUAACCUAUUAUAAAUAACUAAUUGAAUCACUCAUUUAAAUCAUUUUUCCUUUUAUUUUAAAGGAAAAUGUCAACUAUAUCGCAGAAGUACUAUUAGAAGUAUCUUGAAAUUUAUGCAAUCAAAGUUUAAAUUAUAUAAAAAAUUGUGUUUUCAAUGUAAAUAUUUCUUAUUUAAAUAACUGGUUUUCACCUAUUAUGAAUUUUACAUUUGUAAAAGAUUGUCCUAAAAUGAGAACUAGCAAUAGCUUAAUCAUGAGAUCAGAUGUGAUAGUAUAUCCAAAUCCCAAAACUCAAGUCUCUAAACUCAAUACACUUUCUUCAAUAUAAUCACUUUUUGCUUCUUCACUUUCUUUCACCAUCUUCCACCAAAACCCCUUCCAUUUCCACAAUGCAACAACGCAUUUCUCAUCUUAAUCCAAAUGCUCAACCAUUUUUUCCACAAAACCCUAAAACUCAAUCAAGAAUGAUUUAUGUACCAAAACGAACUCGGAUUCAGCAGAAAACUACCAAAAGUACUCAUCAUCGUGUUGGAACUGUUAUUCCAUUUCCAAAAACUAUUGAAGAAGCUGAAGCAUUACACAUUACCACUGUAAUGAUUCGAAACAUCCCUAAUCAGUUUAGGUAAUUAACUAUUCAUCUUUUUAAACACUGAUUUUAUCCCUAAUCAAUUCAAUAGUGUAAUUUCGAUCUUAAUUGUGCUUUGAAAAAAAUUUCAGGUUCGAUAAUUUGUUGAUGAUUCUUGAUGUUCAUUGCUUUGAAAUCAACAAGAUUCUUGAUGAUCCUGCGGAUUGGUCCAAGUUUGAUUUCGUUUAUUUGCCGAUGGAUUACAUGUAAAUGAAUAUUCUAGAACCUUUUCAGUUUUUUUUUUUUUUGCAUUUUUUUUUUUUUUUUGUAUUUUCUCUUUUAAAUAAAUUGUAUUAAUUUUUUUUUUUUUUUUACAGGAAGCAUGCUGUUAAAGGAAAAAUGUCUAAUUUAGGGUAUGCAUUUGUGAACUUUACAACACCUUCUGCUGCUUUCAAGUUCUAUAAACAGUUUCAAGGAUUUGCAUGGAAUGUCACACANAAUCCAAAGAUAUGUGAAAUAAAUGCUGCUAAAUAUCAAGUUAGUUUGUUAUUUAAUUUUGGUCUCAUUUCAUGAAUUUAUUUAUUUAUUACUUUAUUAAUUUUAUUUUUUUGAAGUAGUUGUAAUAGCAAGUUAAUGAUACUUCUAGAUUAAACCAUGAUUUUAGUCUUAAUGUGUUACUCUUCUGUAACAAAUUAUAAUUCAUUUUGAAAUGUUCAUAUGAUUAAAAAUAAAUAAACGAUCAAUUUAGUCUUUAAAUUAACUAGACCAUGAUCAAAUUGAUGGAUGAGAAUUAGUUAGUUGAUUUUAAAAUGAAAAAAAGUAAAUUUAGUAGAUUACCAAUCAAUAAUAUUAUGAAGAAAGAUAAAUUAAAAAUUGAAAAAUAAAAUUAAAAUAGUAUAAAUGAUAUAGAAACAUUGUUUGGUUAUGAAGGAUGAUUUGGGAUAAAUUAUUUUCCUCAAAUAACUUAUAAGAAGGAUUCCACUAUUAGCACAGCUUAUAAUUAGCACUGGUUAUGAAACAUCUUUGAAUAUAUCAACUUAUAACAAAACACUACUUGCAUUCAUUUUUUUUAAUGUAACAAUACUGACAUUUUUGGUUAAUUAUGUUCAUUUUUAUCUGCAGGGCAAAGAAAGUUUGAUUAGGAUUUUCUCCCAAAAAGUAUUCCGAUGCAAGAACCCAGAUUUUUUACCGAUUCUAUUCUCGGCAGGGCGUGAUGGUUUCAAUCGCAGAAUGAGUGGAAUCUCUAUUGGAAUACAUGUAAGGGGAUUGCCAUUCACAAGAAGAAACAUAUGAACUCACAUUUCUUUCUAAAACCAAUGAAACACCAAAGUGUUCUCUCUAGAUUGUUAAUGUCUUUAGCUAAUUAGGAUGAACUAGAAUGAAACACUUUCUCCCUCGGUAUUCUCUAGCUUGUGGUGUUUAAUUGUGACUUGGGUUUCAUGUCGUAAUUAGGGUUAAUUUCCGAGGGACUGUUAUUUUAACUUUGUAUAGUUUGUACUUUGAACCUAUAUGUGGAUCGGGUCUUGCCUGAAGCUACCGGUGUUUUCAUUCUCUCCCUAGAAUUGUUGAGGUUGCAUGAUACAAUCUGGGGUGAAUUGGAAACAUGGGUUUAAGAAUUGCUCUAUUCACAAGUACUGUAAAUUGUACUGUUUCUGUGAAAUCUACGAGUUGUGUUUGUUAAUAGUACUGUUAAGAUUUGCGUGUUUUCGUGUUAAUAUUCAGUUUUGCUUUGACUUGUGAAUAAGGUGAUGAUACAGAAUAUUUUCUUUUGUAGUAACUAUUGGUAGUUUGUAGCACAGCACAACUUCACACUUUCUUUUGUCCUAAAUCAAAAUGUGAUUCUUCUGAUUAUAUUAAAUCAAUAGAAUCGUUUUGGUAUAUGCUUAUUUCCAUGGAAAAGGGGAGUAUGUUGUGUCUUCUUUUUGUCUAUUUAUUCAUCCAGUUCAUCAAUCUAUAAUGAAACCUAUUUUUCUCAUAACAUUCUUUCACAUGAACACAUUGAUUUUGACCAAACCCAAACAAUGCCAACAUUCCUCGGUGACUAGUGUUGAAGGCCAAGAAGAUAAAUACGUGUAAUAAUUGAACCGUGUGAAAUAUUGGUACAAUGUCUAACGAAUAUCGAGGUCUAACUCAUUCUUACAAAACCGGCUUGUACGGUGAGGAGUGUCUCCUCUUUAUAAACUUUUUCUCGGGACAAAAUCUCACCUGAGAGUUGGCCGUUAACACACCCCCUCACGCUUCAGCCAAUGCCAUGUAACGAAUAUCGAGGCCUAAAUCAUCCCCACAAAACCGGUUUGUAAGGUGAGGAGUGCCUCCUCUUAUAAACUCUUCUCAAGAUUCCUAUCUAUCCGAUAUGGGACUAAAUCUCACCCCGAGAGUUGGCCGCUAACACAAUGUCAUGUUGGAUUGCAUUACCGUUAGUUAUGUCGAAUAUGUAUAAUGUGUUUUAUGGAUUUUUUUUUUCUGUCGUAAAGUGAAACCAAAAUUUUAAAUCGAGAAAUGAUAUUUGUACAAGUAACAACUUUCUCUCUCUCUCUUCCUUUUUCUCUCUCCAUUGUUUUGACCAAUGAAAAGAGAGAAAAUGAAGGUUGUCAAAUAGGUUGUACCAAAUGGUUGUUCAAAUAUCAUUGCUCUUUUAAAUCUGAUUUAGUUGAAACAAAAAUUUCAAAACUACCCUACUUUUGAUCAGCUGACCUCCAUGUCACAACUUUAACUUGCGACAGACCCCUAUGUCACAACUCACAAGUGGGACUUGCAACAAACCUCAUAUUCUCAAAAUCUACAAUAUUUUUGUCUUUAUUAUAUAUCACAAGUGGGACUUGUGACAUUUUUUUUUUUACGUUUUUAAUUUUAUUAUUUUUAUAGAAUUAGUUUUUUAACGUUUUUAAUUUUAUUAAUUUGCAUCUCGUUUAAAAACUCCAAAAUUUCAUGGUGAAGGUUCUUAUAAUGUUCUAACCAUGCCUAUAAAAUAAAAUAAGAGAGCGGAAUUUGACCCACGAAUAUACGUUUACUCGGAACAAAAUUCCAAUUUCGCACAUUUUUCUUGAAAAAUAAAAAUAAAAUGAAAUGUCUUUAAAAUCCUACAAAACUUUGCAGAUCAUUUUUAUGUAUUUCUAUAGAUGUCACUGCAAAUAAUUAGCACAAAAUUCGAUUUAUAGGUUGAAGUUUUUGUUGUUUUGUUUUUUGAGUUUUUGACGCUUUAAAAAUUCAUAAUUAAUUCAUCUUUAGUUGAAAAAUUCUAAUUUUUUUAAAUCAUAUUUUAACGUCCUAAACAUGUUUGAAAAAAAUAAUGAACAAAUUCAACCUCUAAGUAGCUCUUUUGCACUUCAACUAUAUUAGAGGGUAAAAAAUAUCUGAAAUUACAUAGUUAAAAUAUGUGUUAUUUAUUUUGUAGGAUUAUUUUUCAGAUUUCGCAUAUAUUGUAGAGUCAAUUUCAAUAACUAACUCUAGUUAAAAUAGGUGAUUUUUGUCUCGUAAGUAUAGUUCAGUUGGUAGCUAUCAGAGAUAAUUUGUGCAGGGGUCGGGGUCCGAACCCCAGAUUUCCCAUUUCUCUACACAUAAUGUAUGUGAAUCUAGCCACUAGACUACUUGACAAAAAAAAAAUUGAUUUUUAUUUUUAUUUUUAUAAUAACUAAUACAUGGGCGUCUAAUUUUUGCAUAACAUUUUUGGCAUAUUUGAUUUUUUUUUGUUGAAAGAAGCAUAUUUGAAUAUCUAUAUCUAAUGUAAUCUUAGUAAUGAUUGUAAUCUAAAAUAUGAAAUAACACACAUUUAAUGCCUGCAUCUUUUUUCUUCUGCCACUCUUGCCCUGACUGUAUGUUCACUCUGCAGCUUCCUUCUAGCUCUUGCUUUUUGCAGCCAUCCAGUCUCGUUUCUUGAAAGUUGAAACUAUCCAUUUUGGUUUUACAGGUAGCUCUUGCCUAUUGGGGAGAGACAAAGGCUCUGUUUGGUUAACCCCAAAAAGUAGCUUUUAGCUUUUAGCUUAUAGCUUAUAAGCUCGUUUGACAAAAAAAGCUCUGUUUGGUAACACUUUUUCACCAUGAGCUUAUAGCUUAUUUCACGAGCUUAUAAGCUAUUUUUCAGAAGCUAUUCCAAGUAGCGUUUGAGCUUAUAGCUUAUAGCUUAUAACUUCUCACUUUUUCUUCCAAUUUUACCCUUAUUAUUUCAUUUAAAUUGUAUUUUUAUCCAUUAUAAUUUUUAUAAUAAGCUACGUAAUAAAGACUACUAUCCCUUUAUUUCAAUUUUUGUAAAUAUAUCAGCUGACCUUUUUUUUUUUUUUUGAAAAAAUAUAUACCUUCAUUUUUUUUACGAAACAAAAUACUAUUGUUCUAUUAGUGUUACUUUUUUUAUUUUUUUUGAGGUAAGUGUUAUUUUCUUUAUUCUCUGUUAUUAGUAUUACUCUAUUAGUGCUACCUUUUUUUUUGUUUUUGAGGUAAAUGUUAUUUUUUUUAUAAAGUGGAAACACUUAAAUGAUAAUAAAUAUUGUAACGCCCUAGUUAUUUAUUUAAUUAUUUUAUUAUGUGGAGUAUGUAUAUAUAUUAUUAUAUAUGAUGUUUGGUGGUUUAUGUGGAGUAUAUGCAUAUAUUUGUAUAUAUGUGAUUGUUGGAUGUUUUAUGUGGUGUAUUAAUUUAGUAUAUGGUUUAUUUAAUAAUAAUUAAAAUAAGUAUGAAAUGGUAAUUAUUUUGGAGUUUGGGAAAUAAUAGGAGUUAUUAGAAGUUAUGGGGAGUUAAGUAUAAUUAAAGGGAGUUACAUUUUAGUGGGAGGUUAAUACAAAGAAGUUAGAGUAGUUUUACGUAGAAGCAGUUUUUGGGAGAAAACAAGAGAAAGCCAAGAGCAAGAGAGAACCAAGGNNNNNNNNNNNNNNNNNNNNNNNNNNNNNNNNNNNNNNNNNNNNNNNNNNNNNNNNNNNNNNNNNNNNNNNNNNNNNNNNNNNNNNNNNNNNNNNNNNNNAUUAUUAAUCAUACUUGUCGAUUAAGUGGAGUCACAUGGAGUUGCAUUGCAUGGUCAGUUGUAUGUAGAUAUACACAAGUAGGUCCAUUGCAUAUGCAUAAAACAGCGGUGAGGGCUUCGGUCCUGGAGUACUAGUUGCUCAACAGCGGUGAGGGCUUCGGUCCUGAUGAAUGCUUUAACCAUUCAAAAGCGGUGAGGACCUCGGUCCUGAUUGGUACCACAUGCAUAAUUGCAUCUCAUUAAGAAGUCUAAGAUGGUGUCUUAGCAGUGGUCAUGUCAUUUGCAUGAGUCUUGAUGUAAUGAUGAUGUUGAUGUUUGAUAUACAUUCUUAUAUAUGUGUAUUCAUUGUGGUCUUGGUGUAUUGUUGAUGUUGAUGAUAUUAUAUACAUUGUAUACUACUUGUUAAGUGGAUGAUUAUGAUGAUGUUGUUGUGAUUGUGAAUAAUUAUAAGAUUUGCAAGUGUACAUGUUGAAGAUAUAGGGUGUUAGAUUCAUUAAUGAUUUUAAUAUCUAUAUUUAUUGUUGUGAAUCUCACCCCUUCUGCUUGAAAAUGUUGCCCUUCCUAUGGGUAACUUGCAGGUGAUCCUGAGUAGUCGGUGGUGGUUCAAGAGUCGUGUCUAGGGCUCUGAUACGUGGGUUGGGAGUCAUUUUAUUAUUUCAUUGUUGUUUUCCCUUCCAUGUAUCAAAUUUUGGAACUUGUUGAUGUGCCCUUUCAUUGGCUAACUUUUGUUGUUUAGGCUUAAUGCCAAGAUGUUGUUGGAGAUUAAAAUAUUGUUGUUGCUAUUGAAAAUGCAAAACGUUCCGCUGCAUUAAUUUGAAGUUUUGACUGUUGUUGAAUUAAAUAGUUUUAUUUUCUAUUUAAGAAUUUCGAUGUUGCGAUGUAGCAUGCCCGUUUGGUGUAAUACUCUGAUGUUUAUAUGCUAUUUUAUUCCUUUUGGGUAACGGGGUGUUACAAUUUGGUAUCAGAGCAGGUUGGUCCGUCCGGCCAAGUAGUAGAGUCGUGUUGAGCCACCUAGGAUAGAGUGUCAACUUUAUUGUUGUCCUGUUUGUUGUUUGUUGUGUCUUGGUAUGAACUGGUUGGAGUAUACCCAUGUUCAUAUCAAUUGCUUAAACAAGACGGUGCAUUUUUCUUCUGCGGAGGAAGAGAGUGGAGCAGAGUUCUUAACUACAAAACAGUUGAAGCAGUUUGAACGUGAUGGUAUCCUGAUGUAUUCUCUAAUGGCACAAUUGUCGUUAGAAAAUCAAGCUGUGAUUGAUGGUUUACCUGUAGUGAAUGAAUUUCCAGAAGUAUUCCCUGAUGAGAUUCCUGAUGUGCCACCAGAGAGGGAGGUUGAGUUCUCAAUUGAUCUUGUUCCAGGAACUAAGCCGGUGUCGAUGGCACCGUACCGUAUGUCAGCUUCUGAGUUGGCUGAGUUGAAGAAACAGUUGGAGGACCUGUUAGAUAAGAAGUUUGUAAGACCCAGUGUUUCACCUUGGGGAGCACCGGUGUUGUUAGUAAAGAAGAAGGAUGGUAGUAUGAGACUUUGCAUAGAUUACCGUCAGUUGAACAAAGUUACGAUCAAGAACAGGUAUCCGCUUCCUAGAAUUGACGACUUGAUGGAUCAGUUGGUUGGUGCCAAGAUUUUCAGUAAGAUUGAUUUGAGGUCUGGUUAUCAUCAGAUAAAGGUGAAAGAUGAGGAUAUGCAGAAGACGGCCUUUAGGACACGUUAUGGUCAUUACGAGUACAAAGUGAUGCCUUUCGGUGUUACUAAUGCGCCUGGUGUUUUUAUGGAGUACAUGAACCGAAUUUUCCAUGCUUUUCUGGAUAAGUUUGUUGUGGUGUUUAUUGAUGAUAUUCUAAUUUAUUCCAAGAAUGAGGAGGAGCAUGCAGAGCAUCUGAGAAUAGUGUUGCAAGUGUUGAAGGAAAAGAGGUUGUAUGCUAAGUUAUCAAAAUGUGAAUUCUGGUUACAUGAAGUAAGUUUUCUGGGUCACAUUAUUUCUGGUAGUGGUAUUGCAGUGGAUCCUUCAAAGGUUGAUGCGGUAUCACAAUGGGAGACUCCGAAGUCGGUAACUGAGAUUAGAAGUUUUCUGGGUUUGGCUGGUUAUUACCGCAGGUUCAUAGAAGGGUUUUCGAAGUUGGCUCUUCCGUUGACACAGUUGACCUGUAAGGGUAAGUCUUUUGUGUGGGAUGCUCAGUGUGAGAGUAGUUUCAAUGAGUUGAAGCGAAGAUUGACAACUGCUCCUGUUUUGAUUUUGCCUAAACCAGAAGAACCGUUUGUUGUGUAUUGUGAUGCAUCUAAGCUGGGCUUAGGUGGUGUUCUGAUGCAAGAUGGUAAGGUAGUAGCGUAUGCUUCUAGGCAGUUACGUAUUCAUGAGAAGAAUUAUCCUACACAUGACCUGGAGUUAGCUGCAGUGGUUUUUGUUUUGAAAAUUUGGAGGCAUUAUUUGUACGGUUCCAGAUUUGAGGUGUUCAGUGACCAUAAAAGUUUGAAGUAUUUAUUUGACCAGAAGGAAUUGAACAUGAGGCAGAGGAGGUGGUUAGAGUUACUGAAGGAUUUUGAUUUUGGCUUGAAUUACCAUCCUGGUAAGGCCAAUGUGGUAGCUGAUGCUUUGAGUAGGAAGACUUUGCACAUGUCUGCUUUGAUGGUGAAAGAGUUUGAGUUGUUAGAACAGUUCAGAGAUAUGAGUCUUGUCUGUGAAUUGUCACCCCAGAGUAUACAGUUGGGAAUGUUGAAAAUUGAUAGGGAUUUCUUGAACAGUAUCCGAGAAGCUCAGAAAGAAGAUUUGAAGUUUGUUGAUUUGAUGACUUCUGGUAAUGACACUGAGGAUAGUGAUUUCAAAGUUGAUGAUCAAGGUGUUUUGAGGUUCAGAGGUAGAGUUUGCAUUCCUGACAAUGAAGAGUUGAAGAAGUUGAUUCUUGAGGAGAGUCACAAGAGUAGGUUGAGUAUUCACCCGGGAGCUACAAAAAUGUACCAUGAUUUGAAGAAACUGUUUUGGUGGUCCGGUUUGAAAAGAGAUGUUGCUCAGUUUGUUUAUGCCUGUUUGAUUUGUCAGAAGUCCAAGGUUGAGCAUCAGAAGCCUGCAGGGUUGUUGACACCGUUAGAUGUACCGGAGUGGAAGUGGGACAGUAUCUCCAUGGAUUUUGUAACGAGUUUACCGAACACUUCGAAAGGACAUGAUGCCAUUUGGGUAGUUGUCGACCGGUUGACGAAGUCGGCACAUUUCAUUCCUAUUAAUAUCAGUUAUCCGGUAGCACAGUUAGCAGAGAUUUACAUUCACAGUGUGGUGAAGCUUCAUGGUGUUCCGUCUAGCAUUGUGUCGGAUAGGGAUCCGAGGUUCACUUCUAGGUUCUGGAAGAGUUUACAGGACGCCUUGGGGUCGAAACUGAAGUUGAGUUCGGCUUAUCAUCCUCAAACAGAUGGUCAGUCGGAAAGGACAAUUCAAUCAUUGGAAGAUUUGUUGAGAGUGUGUGUGCUUGAGCAAGGAGGAGCUUGGGACAGUCACUUGCCUUUGAUUGAGUUUACUUAUAACAACAGCUAUCACUCGAGUAUUGGUAUGGCACCGUUCGAAGCCUUGUAUGGUCGGAGGUGUAGGACUCCUUUAUGCUGGUUUGAGUCGGGUGAAAGUGUUGUGUUGGGACUGGAUUUGGUUCACGAGACUACUGAGAAAGUCAGAAUGAUAAGGGAAAAGAUGAGAGCUUCGCAGAGUCGACAGAAGAGUUACCAUGACAAGCGAAGGAAGGAUCUUGAGUUUCUGGAGGGUGAUCAUGUUUUUCUGAGAGUCACUCCUUUGACGGGUGUUGGACGGGCUUUGAAGUCGAGGAAGUUGACUCCUAAGUUUAUUGGACCGUAUCAGAUUUCAGAGAGAGUUGGUACUGUGGCAUAUAGAGUUGGUUUGCCACCACAUCUUUCGAACUUGCACGAUGUGUUUCAUGUUUCUCAGCUUCGGAAGUAUGUUGCGGAUCCUUCUCAUGUGAUUACGAGGGAUGAUGAUGUGCAGGUUAGGGACAACCUGACCGUUGAGACUAUGCCAUUGAGGAUAGAUGACAGAAAGGUGAAGUCUUUGAGGGGUAAAGAGAUUCCUCUUGUUAGAGUCGUUUGGGGUGGAGCGACUGGUGAAAGUUUGACUUGGGAGCUGGAGAGUAAGAUGCGGGAGUCGUAUCCGGAGUUGUUUGUUUGAGGUAAGAUUUCGAGGACGAAAUUCUGUAAUUUGGGGAGAGUUGUAACGCCCUAGUUAUUUAUUUAAUUAUUUUAUUAUGUGGAGUAUGUAUAUAUAUUAUUAUAUAUGAUGUUUGGUGGUUUAUGUGGAGUAUAUGCAUAUAUUUGUAUAUAUGUGAUUGUUGGAUGUUUUAUGUGGUGUAUUAAUUUAGUAUAUGGUUUAUUUAAUAAUAAUUAAAAUAAGUAUGAAAUGGUAAUUAUUUUGGAGUUUGGGAAAUAAUAGGAGUUAUUAGAAGUUAUGGGGAGUUAAGUAUAAUUAAAGGGAGUUACAUUUUAGUGGGAGGUUAAUACAAAGAAGUUAGAGUAGUUUUACGUAGAAGCAGUUUUUGGGAGAAAACAAGAGAAAGCCAAGAGCAAGAGAGAACCAAGGGCUGAGCAUUGCUGUGCAUUUCUUCUUCAAUUUCUAAGGUAAGGGUGGGGUUUACUUCAAUAGUAUAGAAUUUAAAGUCUGAUUUCGAGUUUAACAGGUUUUGGUAAAAAUUGGGGAUUUUGGGUUUUAUGUUGAAGUUGUAGUUUUUGGAGUUGUAAGCAUGAAUUUGAUGUUAGAAAUAGGUUCUAAGUGCAUACAGAAAGUUAAUUUGCAUCUGUAAACUGAUUUGGGGAGUGAUUGGAAGGAAAAUGGGAUUUUUGAGUAAAACCAGUUUUCUGCCCGUACAGAAGUUCAUCGCUCGCCUCGCGAGUAGCUGUGCUCGCCAUGGCGAGUGAGCAACUUCAUCGCUCGCCUCGCGAGCAAUCCAACUCGCCAUGGCGAGUAGCCCAGAUUAACACUUGAUUUUUGAAAAGUUGUUAUAAGAUGUUUUGGGGAUGGUUUAAGGUACCUAGAUGAUUUUAAUGAUGAUUGGUGAAAGUUUUAGGUUAAAAAGAUGAAUAGGGAACUUAGAAUUGGAGUUGGAGUGAGAAAAUGUCACUUUUUCCCGAGUGCACCUGAUUUUCACUCGCCUCGAGUUCGCCUUGAACUCGCCAUGGCGAGCUAGUGUUUUUGUGAACUCGCCAUGGCGAGCAGAUGUGCUCGCGAGGCGAGCUAGUGCAGUUUUGAGUGCAGUUUUGCUUGCUUGAUUAAUGAGGUUCGAGUGUUGUUGUUUAAGCAUAAUUAUAAUUAAUUGUGCAUCAUUCUGAAUGGUUGAAUCUCUGUUGGAUGUUGAUUGAUGAUGAGGAAUGCAUUGUAUGUUUUAAUUAUUAAUCAUACUUGUCGAUUAAGUGGAGUCACAUGGAGUUGCAUUGCAUGGUCAGUUGUAUGUAGAUAUACACAAGUAGGUCCAUUGCAUAUGCAUAAAACAGCGGUGAGGGCUUCGGUCCUGGAGUACUAGUUGCUCAACAGCGGUGAGGGCUUCGGUCCUGAUGAAUGCUUUAACCAUUCAAAAGCGGUGAGGACCUCGGUCCUGAUUGGUACCACAUGCAUAAUUGCAUCUCAUUAAGAAGUCUAAGAUGGUGUCUUAGCAGUGGUCAUGUCAUUUGCAUGAGUCUUGAUGUAAUGAUGAUGUUGAUGUUUGAUAUACAUUCUUAUAUAUGUGUAUUCAUUGUGGUCUUGGUGUAUUGUUGAUGUUGAUGAUAUUAUAUACAUUGUAUACUACUUGUUAAGUGGAUGAUUAUGAUGAUGUUGUUGUGAUUGUGAAUAAUUAUAAGAUUUGCAAGUGUACAUGUUGAAGAUAUAGGGUGUUAGAUUCAUUAAUGAUUUUAAUAUCUAUAUUUAUUGUUGUGAAUCUCACCCCUUCUGCUUGAAAAUGUUGCCCUUCCUAUGGGUAACUUGCAGGUGAUCCUGAGUAGUCGGUGGUGGUUCAAGAGUCGUGUCUAGGGCUCUGAUACGUGGGUUGGGAGUCAUUUUAUUAUUUCAUUGUUGUUUUCCCUUCCAUGUAUCAAAUUUUGGAACUUGUUGAUGUGCCCUUUCAUUGGCUAACUUUUGUUGUUUAGGCUUAAUGCCAAGAUGUUGUUGGAGAUUAAAAUAUUGUUGUUGCUAUUGAAAAUGCAAAACGUUCCGCUGCAUUAAUUUGAAGUUUUGACUGUUGUUGAAUUAAAUAGUUUUAUUUUCUAUUUAAGAAUUUCGAUGUUGCGAUGUAGCAUGCCCGUUUGGUGUAAUACUCUGAUGUUUAUAUGCUAUUUUAUUCCUUUUGGGUAACGGGGUGUUACAAAUAUAAGAUAAAAUUUUAGUGAAUAAAAUUUAAUUUAAUUUAUAAUACAUAGGAUAUAUUAAAUUAAUAAAUUUAAAGUAUUUUUUUUAAAGAAAAAUUAGUUUACAAAAUUAAAAAUACUUAAAUUAAUGAUAUAAUUUUUAUUAUGAAUUAAGAAUACCCUUUAUGUCAUUUUACAUUUAUCAGCUAGUUGAACCGCUGUUUUUACCAAACACUUCAGUUAGCUUAUCAGCUAAAAGCUAUCAGCUAGCUUAUCAGCUAUAAGCUAUCAGCUAGCUUAUCAGUUAAAAGCUAUCAACUAGCUUAUCAGCUAUCCGCUAUUUUUACCAAACAGAGCCAAAGAGUACACACAUUGUCGCCUUUCUAGAAUGUGUGUUGGAAACAAAUUGGUACACUAUUUUUUGGUUUCACCGAAAUCUAAACCCAAAUCAAAUCCAAGUAAAACAAAGUUACAAAGAAAAAGUAAAAAACAUUGUUGUUCGAAAGAAAAAGGGUUAAUUAAGUUUUGGGUUAAUGGUGCUUUAUCCUUGUAAUAUAGGUCAUUUUUUGUUUUUCCCUGUAAAAUAUUCUUUUGAUUUAUUCUCCUGUAAAAUAUUUUUUUUUGGAAUACCCCCCUAAUAGGUCAUAAAAAAAUAACUUUUUUUUUUUUUUUUUUGCAAAAUUUUUUCGUUUUUUUAUGACCUAUUAGGGGGUAUUCCAAAAAUUUUUUUUUUUACAGGGGGUAAAUAAAAAAAAAAAAUUUACAGGGGGGAAAACAAAAAAUGACCUAUAUUACAGGGGUAAAACACUAUUAACCCUUAAGUUUUUAGUCCCUAUAAAUAUUUACAGUUUUGUUUUUAGUCCCUACAAAAUGAAAUCACAUUUUUUUAGUUCAUAUGACAUUUUCCUUAAGCAUUUUAAGAACCAAAACUGUUGAUGAAAUUUUUUUACAAAAACUAAAAGUGCUGAUGAAAAAGUUUAUAGGGAUUAAAAAUGCUGAUGGAAAAUUUUAUAGGGACUAAAAAGUGUGAUUUUAUUUUGUAGGGCUGAAAGCAAAACUACGAAUAUUUAUAGGUUAACCUAAAGAAAAAUAAUUAACAGAGUUAGUCGGAAAAAAAAAGUACUAUCAACAAGAAAAACUUCAUGACAAUAACCAAUUUAAAUAAAAAACUAUUUAAACAAUUUCAUUAAUUUAUAAAGAAUUCUUCUUUAAAAAUUUUAGUAUAAAUAUUUUUUUUAAUUUGAUUAAUUUAAAAUAGUUUAUCAAAAUGUCAUUAUUUUUUUUAUUCGUAUGUAUUAACUCCGUCUCACAUUAUAAGCACUUCUAAAAAAAAUCAUAAGUAUAAAGAAAGGUGGUUGUAAUACCGUGUUUCUUGAUUAAUUAAAAAAAUUAUUCGAGUUGGAUACGAAUCAUAAAUACCGCUGCUUUUUUUUUGUGGUGGCAAGGGUUUGAGCCCCCAGACUUUAUAUAUAUUAUGCAAUAUUCUUACAAACUGAGUUAAACUCACGUGGACGUGUUUAAGACAAAAAGAGUAACAUUCAUCUUUAAAAAAAAGAAAAGAAUCUUCCAAACACGGUGUCUGGACAAGUACCGUGUUUCUUAAAUAAAUUAAAUAAAUCAUAAGUACUAAGACAAAUGUUUCUUGAUACCGUCUCAAUAUUUAAUUCAAACACGGUGUUGAAUAAAAUUGUAUCAUUGUUUCUCGAUUUGUAUCAACCUUCAUUUGGGUUGGUUUGACUCGAUUCGUUUCCAUGCAUGUGCUCUUUUCAAUUGUAUCAAUCUUCAUCUAGAAACCACUUGAUUCGAUUCAAAUAUUAGUUGAAUCGUAUCAAUCUUCAUAGCUCCAUAUUUAUCCCUUUUCACAUGUUUGAAUCAAAUUAUUCGUAGUGUGAUUUGAAUCAUGUCGUUGUUGUUGCCACAAAUAUCGCACUUAUCACUCUUGUAUAUAUAUAGCUAAAAAACUUUGAUUAGGAUUUUCUUCAAAAAACUAUUUUUAAGAACACUUGUAUGAUUUAAGAACUAGAUUGAUAGGGUGGUAUAUUAUAAUUGUAAGUUUGGUUUCUUUAAUGGAUCUUGGUGGAGUAUCAAGGAUCUAAAGUAAAAGAAGUUAUUUUUCACCUCCGAAGGAAAUUGUGAGGGUUAUUUCUCAAACAAUUGAGAUUCAAGGAAACCGAAGCGAUGCAAUAUCAAAGAAGAUUUAUUAGAUAAGAAGAUCAAAGGAUUGCAUGAAAGCUCGAGAUUCGAUGAUGUUGGGAUUAUCCAAUUUCAAGGAGGCUUGAAGAUUAGAGGCUUUGGAGUGAUUACUUAGCGUAGAAGAUUUAGGACCGAGUUGAUUUGUAAAUUCAAUGAACCUUUGCAGUAUACUCUACUAAGCGUUUUCAACAUUUCAUAUGAUGAUCGAGGGAACCUCUAUAAAUAUGGUUUUUUCUUCUUACUUUCUCUUUACUCAUUGCAAUAUAAUUUUAUCUAUCUUAAAUUGUUUAUUAGAUUAUUUGAAGCUUAUAACAAGUGAUUGAAUAUUUUAGAACUUAAUUUUUCUACAAUAUCUUGAAGAUACAUUUAACAAUGUGAGACCGAGUGAUAUUAAUUCUCGACUAAAGAAAUUCCAAUACGAUUUGAUACCACUUUUUGGUUUGUAUGAUGCUAUAGAAAUGGAUCUAGAGAGGGGUGGAGUGAAUAGAUACCCAUUAAAAAAUUACUUGGAAACAUGGUUUUCAAAAUGCUGUUUUCAAAAAGGUUUCAACUAUUGGAUUUGUGACAUAAGGUACAAAGAAUAUCCAAACAAAACAAUAUGAAAACAAGAGAAUUCUAUAUUGAAUAAGUUAUUCACUAUUGAAUUAAUGUUCUUACUCAAAUUAAUACACUAAAUCACACAACAAAUACAAUCACAAAUCAAACCUAUACUUUCAACAAUGAAAACGCUAACAAGGAAAUACAAGGAUUUGAUCAAUUAUUAAAUGAUUUACAAGCUAAUUACAAUUAUGCUGAGAGAUUUAACAAAACUUGUGAAAAAAGUAUUAAUCAAUGAAAAGAUUAAAUCAUCUUAAAACAUUGCAAUUAAACAUAUCGAUAUUUAACAUGUAUCAAAUCAAAUAUGUAAGAAUUAAAAAAUGGUCUUGUUAACUAGUGCCCCCGGAACACUAGUUAAGGAACUAAAAAUAGAAAGAAAAGUCAAAUUUAAUAGUAGUUUCUCCAAUCGUUCUUGCCAUGGGGUACGUCUACUCUUCGUGGAUGAAUCCAUGGUCUUCCAUUAUGAUGUUGAACGCACAAAGUUGAUACGAGGUUUCAUUAUAAUCAAUUUACCAACUAAGCCAACCUUUGACCCCAAAGAUGACAAAACCCUAAAUAUACUUGAACAAGAUCACCUCAAACUUGAACCAAAUCCAAAUUCUUUAAGUUUGGACCCUUAACCCUUCAAAUCUUCAAUCAUAUGAGAUCCUUCAACUAAAUAUACUUGAACAAGAUCACCUCAAACUUGAAUCAAAUCCAAUUUCUUUAAGUUUGGACCCUCAACCCUUCAAAUCUUCAACCAUGUGAGAUCCUUCGACAAUCUUCAUCAUGAUCCCUAGCUUGUAAAGGAUAAAAUAUAGCCUUAUUGCAUCCUUUAGAAUCUUGAGCAAUCAAAUUCCUCGGAAGAAUCAAACUGUUAAAUAACCUACAAUUGUCCCUAUGAGUAAUGAGAGAGAAAGGUAAUGAAUGAUUUCAGCAUUUAGAAGAAAAAAAAAAUGAGGAAAUGUUAUAUUUAUAGUUUGAGAGUCUUGGUGAAAACGAAACCUGGUAUUUAGAGGAAAAUAUAUUGUCUUAAUCGAUUCACACUUAUGUUGAAUCAAUUCAGAUGUGUAAAAUUGAACAUGGAGAACGUUUGAAGAUUGAGUCGAUUCACAUGAAAAUCAAAUCGAUUCAGAUGAACUCUAUGUGUAUUGAAUCGAUUCAAUGAAACCUAGUAACAACAGAGCGUGUUGGAGAAAUCCUAAUUUAUUUUGUAUAUAAAUGUGAAUCAAGCAAUUGAUGUGAAUAAGAACGUAGAAGAAAUUAGGCUUAAUACAUCAUUUGGUCUCUUAACUUAUUUUUGGUUUUUAUUUUGGCCCCCUAACUAUAAGGGACCAUUAUGAAAAAAAGAAUUAAGUUAAGGGACCAAAUGAUAUAUUAAGUCAAGAAAUUAUUAUAUGUAUAUACAAAACUUGAUACUUAUUCUCUAUGAUCAAAUUGUUUUAUGUAAGAAAAUUGUAUAAUACACUCGAUUUGUUCAUAACUAUGUUGUCACAUCGAUUGUGCAUUGAUUGUACAUAUAAAUUUAUUAUUGUCCAACUUAAUUUUUAAAAAAAUUCCUCCUUUCUAUCAGGAUAGGUUGAACAGUUAAUUAAAAGACAAUGGGGUCGAAUAAUUAGUAAGUUCUUUUAUGUUACUCCUUUUAUGAGUAUGCUAAAGAGACACACAACACAUUGAUCUAUUAAAGAGACAUUUAUUAAGCAUGUUAAAAGGGCAAUUAUUACACAUUGAUCUACGUACUUAGGUUCUAAAAAUAUUUAAUUUUCUUAAGCAUUACAUGAGCAUUAUAAGUGAUAAAAUCAUAUUCUAUUUUCUACAUGCAAAGAGAAAACAAUAUGGCAAAAACUAUCAAAUUUGUUUACACAAUGAUUUUAUUUCUUUCCCUCUUCAUUGUUGCAAAAGAAGUUCAUGGUAAGCCAUGUUUUCUCGCUUUUCGAAUUUUAUUUACUUUUGUAGUUUGUAAACAAUUUUUUACCUCGUUGUAAUAACAUUAUUUUAUUAUCUUUUUUCAUUGCAGCAUAUCCUGGUUGUGAAACUGAUGCUGAAUGUCCAAAAAUUUACGAAUUGUAUCCUUUAAUUUAUAAAUGCGAAAACAAGUUUUGUAUACUUUCUCAAGUGCUUCCAUAUAUUGUAUGAAUAUCUGACCCACAAGAGUGCAUAAAUGUCACGAAGAGAAGAAUAAGUUCUUUCCCUAGGAAAAAAGAAAAUUCAAUAUACCUAUAAUUUUUGCAUGAAUUUCAUUUAAUUUUUGUGCUAGUACCAAUCAAAUCACUUGAAGGAGCUUUAUACCAUUGAAUAGCAUUGCUAAAAGAUGCACCAUUAAUUUAGUAGUAAUCUUGAUUUGAAUUGUUUCUGUAUGCUGAAGAAUACUAAGAAAAGUGUUUGGCACAUUCACAUAAACAGUUUGUGGAAUUUGAAGUUCCACUUGCAUGUUUUUCCCCAUUGAAACAUAAACUCUAUUUUUUUUUUCUUUCCAAUAACUCAAUUUGUUAGCAAUAACAUCCCUAUUAAUUGAUUUUCCAGCAACGUAUUUCUCAACAUUUGCAACCCCUUUUUCUUAUUCUCAUAAUUCAAAUCCAUCGGCUUUUUUAGCAAUUUUGUUGCAUUGCUGUAUUGAGUGUCCUAUGACUCUUCAGUUAUUGUAGAACAAGGGUCGUUUUCUCAUUAACAAUCUCAAAAAAAAAAAAAAAAAGCCCUUCUUUUUCAACGAGCAUGUUGUUGAAUAUUGGUUGUGACUCACUCCAUCCCAAAUUAUAUGUGGUUUUAAAAAAAAAGUUUAUCCUAUAUUAUAGGUAGCUUUACAAUAUCAAUGAAAAAUUAAUGUUAAUUUUUCUAUGAUGUCUUUAACUAUUUAUUAUUCUUCCUCCUUUUAAUUCUUUCAUUUAUCUUUUUCAUAUCUUAUUAAAGAUAAUUUUGUAAAACAACUCAUGAUAAUAUCUUUUUGUCACACAAAAUUAAUUAUAUUUCUUAAUACGUGUGAAAUGCUAAAACGUCAUAUAAUUUGAAACGGAAUGAGUAAUAUGCAAACCUAAUGUCCAAAAAGAAGGAUUAUAGUGGGCUCAUAAAUGGCUGGAGCAGUGUCAAUACUUGAUGCAAUUUCAAAGAGUGACCUUGAUCUCCGAUAUUCUUGGGGGAGGUCAAGAAGUCUAAUCCACAGUACCUGAGCACGUGUUAGCUUCUAAUUUUGGGGAUUUAAAUCCGUCAUCUAACAUGAGAAUCGUAAAAGCCAUGGUUUUAGAUUUAUCAGCCGUAUUGACCAAAUCUUGCGCAUUUCCACAACAUAAUUGAAUUGGAGUUCAAAUAAUCCCUUACCUAAAGUAAUGACUUUCCAGUGCAAGUUCGACCACAAUUUGAUGUAAUUCAAGAAGAAAUUAUGCAAAUCGGCAAUGCAAAAUAUCUAGAAGACUUGUGAAAAUCUUCGGAAGACCAUGAAUGAAGAUUCAAGAGGCCCCAGAAGAAAUUACAGAGGGA
rnacentral:lncRNA from 1 species